GUCGAACGCUGGCGGCGUGCCUAAUACAUGCAAGUCGAACGCAGUGGGGACGGGUGAGUAACACGUGGGUAACCUCCCAUCAGAGGGGAUAACACUUGGAAACAGGUGCUAAACCGAUACUGAUGGAUGGACCCGCGGUGCAUUAGCUAGUUGGUGAGGUAACGGCUCACCAAGGCCACGAUGUAUAGCCGACCUGGGCGGGUGAUCGGCCACACUGGAACUGAGACACGGCCCAGACUCCAUCGGGAGGCAGCAGUAGGGAAUCUUCGGCAAUGGACGAAAGUAGGACCGAGCAACGCCGCGUGAGUGAAGAAGGUUUUCGGAUCGUAAAACUCUGUGAUUAGAGAAGCGGUAUCUAACCAGAAAGCCACGGCUAACUACGUGCCAGCAGCCGCGGUAAUUC
rnacentral:rRNA from 1 species